CUUUUGCAUGACGGGUGUUCACUUGCCCUGCCUUCGCUGCCUUCAUCAGCAAUGGACGCGGACAUUUGAUCUGAGAUCAUACCGUUCUAACCAGAGUCACGAUAAUGCGUGCGAUGGGACUAUGCCUUCCUCUAACU
rnacentral:ncRNA from 1 species